UCUGCUGUGGCCUAGUGGGCAAGGUUACAGUCUUGGAAACACAGGGUCCCAGGUUCAAGCCCAGCUAGGAACA
rnacentral:tRNA from 1 species